CAAAAACAUGGCCUUUUGUAUAUAAAUAUAAGGUCUGACCUGCCCAAUGAUUUAUUUAAUGGCCGCGGUAUAUUAACUGUGCUAAGGUAGCAUAAUCACUUGUCUUUUAAUUAAAGGCUAGAAUGAAUGGUUGGACGAGACAUGAGCUUUCUUUGAUUUAGUUAAUGAAAUUAAUUUUUUAGUUAAAAAGCUAAAAUUUAUUUGAGGGACGAGAAGACCCUAUAGAUCUUUAUAAUUUAAGAUUUUAUAUUUUAUAGUUUAUAAUUUUUUAUAAUAAAUUAACUUAUUUAGUUGGGGUGACUUUAGAAUAAAAAUAACUUCUAUUUUAAUAUUCAUUAAUUAAUGUAUUCAUGAUCCAAAAUUUUUGAUUAAAAGAAUAAGUUACCUUAGGGAUAACAGCGUAAUUUCUUUGGAGAGCUCAAAUCGAUGAAGGAGUUUGCGACCUCGAUGUUGGAUUAAAAUAAGUUUUAGGUGCAGGAGCUUAAAAACUAGGUCUGUUCGACCUUUAAUUUUUUACAUGAUCUGAG
rnacentral:rRNA from 1 species